GGGCCUAUAGCCUAGCCUGGAUACCGGUAAAUCUCAAUUUAACUCGCCAGGUAAGGUAAAUAGGGCGACAGCCUUCUACAUAUUAUGUGGAGAGAGCUGUAGACCGAGGGUUCGAAUCCCUCUAGGCCCG
rnacentral:tRNA from 1 species